AUACUGCUGAGCUAGGGACCGGGAGAGGCCGAGGGUAUUCCCGGGGUAGGGGUGAAAUCCUGUAAUCCCGGGAGGACCACCUGUGGCGAAGGCGCUCGGCUGGAACGGGUCCGACGGUGAGGGACGAAGGCCUGGGGAGCGAACCGGAUUAGAUACCCGGGUAGUCCAGGCUGUAAACGAUGCGGGCUAGGUGUCACCGGAGCUACGAGCUCCGGUGGUGCCGGAGGGAAGCCGUUAAGCCCGCCGCCUGGGAAGUACGGCCGCAAGGCUGAAACUUAAAGGAAUUGGCGGGGGAGCACUACAACGGGUGGAGCCUGCGGUUUAAUUGGAUUCAACGCCGGGAAGCUUACCGGGGGAGACAGCGGGAUGAAGGUCGGGCUGAAGACCUUACCAGACUAGCUGAGAGGUGGUGCAUGGCCGCCGUCAGUUCGUACUGUGAAGCAUCCUGUUAAGUCAGGCAACGAGCGAGACCCGCGCCCUCAGUUGCCAGCGGGUCCCUUCGGGGACGCCGGGCACACUGAGGGGACUGCCGGCGCUAAGCCGGAGGAAGGUGCGGGCAACGGCAGGUCCGUAUGCCCCGAAUCCCCCGGGCUACACGCGGGCUACAAUGGCCGGGACAAUGGGUACCGACCCCGAAAGGGGUGGGUAAUCUCCUAAACCCGGUCUAACCUGGGAUCGAGGGCUGCAACUCGCCCUCGUGAACCUGGAAUCCGUAGUAAUCGCGUCUCA
rnacentral:rRNA from 1 species